CUUUGGAACACUGAGUGGAUGAUGGUGUCAUUAACAGAGAUGGGAAAAAUAGAGGGAAAGGCAGACGUGAAUGCGCACUUAGAUUUGCACACGGUAUGUUUGAGAUGGAACAGGACAUCCAUCCGCUGCUGAGUAGCAAGCAACUGCUGCUGGCUUCUGUGACAUCACCAUUGGUAGUCUUAUUAAUACUGACCUAUUUCAGUUUCCCCUCUAUAAUUUGCUUCCUUCUCUUGGUCCGUAAAGAUGGGGCUCCUCUUCUCUCUGUACACUAUUCCUCUGAAAAGACCUUUUAUCAAGGAGGUAACUGGAUAUCAUCACUCUAAUAUUCGUGUUUUCCUAACCUCCACCUCAGUGGAAAGAGUGGCUUUCCUUGAGAAAGAAGCAAAUAGCGGUGCCAUUUGGGGAUGUCAAUGAUACCGACACUGUUUAAUGUCUCUGUGUUUUCACACUUUUUUGUGACAAUCCAAAACACAGACACAGUGUUACAUUUUAUUAAUCAUGUUUGGACAUGAAUCAAUUCCUAAUGUGUGUUGUGUGUGUAUUUUCAAAGAAAAAUCUUUAUCAAAACCGAGUGUCCUGCUUUUGUUUGGCACUAGUGUGCCAGGAAAGGGUUACAGAAUCCUGUCUCUUCUUGAUCUAUAACAGCUGGUAAAAAAGUACAGCGCUGGAGCUGUGUAAGUCCCCGCCAUUACCAUCCCCCACCGCCUCUCUCCACUUAGUAAAAUUCCUUACAAAGUUGAAAUCCAGUGGUAAGCAAAGGAAGCAGCUUUGGUUCAUUAGUUUUGAGAGGACUAAGGAUGAGAUUCUUGUAGUUAAAAAAGAAGGUUUUAAAUGCAACAACCGCUAUGCAGUCUGCAAGAUUCAUGGUUAGAGUGUUUUUCCUGAAAAGGAAUAAUUCAGAGUAAGGAGCAGUCUUGGCCUUAUUGAGAGCCUGAGCUAGAAUUGGAAGCCCCAAACCAAAAUCACAAUCAAGUCUGAAAGCUCG
rnacentral:lncRNA from 1 species